UCAAUAUAAAUUAAAGAAAGAUAAUUAACUUGCAGCUAAAAUCUUCGCUUCAACCGACAGACCUUUCCCAAAUUUUGCUACUAAAAUCAUUAAUAAAAUAUUAUGAAACUAACAAGUGUCAAAUGCAACACACUUCAUUUGCUACAAUACAAUGAUUCCCUAAAUACAAUCCACGAUAACGAAACUCACCAUUUGACGAUCUCUACUUGCAUUCCUUUUACUACCACCAACAUGCGAGACGUUAAGCUUCAUAAAAUUUCAAGUGUUUUGUAAACGUUAU
rnacentral:lncRNA from 1 species